AGCGAACGCUGGCGGCAAGCCUAACACAUGCAAGUCGAACGAACUCUUCGGAGUUAGUGGCGGACGGGUGAGUAACACGUGGGAACGUGCCUUUUGGUUCGGAAUAACUCAGGGAAACUUGUGCUAAUACCGAAUGCGCCCUUCGGGGGAAAGAUUUAUCGCCAUUAGAGCGGCCCGCGUCUGAUUAGCUAGUUGGUGAGGUAACGGCUCACCAAGGCGACGAUCAGUAGCUGGUCUGAGAGGAUGACCAGCCACACUGGGACUGAGACACGGCCCAGACUCCUACGGGAAGCAGCAGUGGGGAAUCUUGCGCAAUGGGCGAAAGCCUGACGCAGCCAUGCCGCGUGAAUGAUGAAGGUCUUAGGAUUGUAAAAUUCUUUCACCGGGGACGAUAAUGACGGUGCCCGGAGAAGAAGCCCCGGCUAACUUCGUG
rnacentral:rRNA from 1 species